ACCUUCCUGAAGAAUAUCCGGCAGUUUAUUAUGCCUGUGCCCCUGAGCCAGAGCCUCCUCCUGCCGAUGACUCUCCAGCUGAGCCUGAGCCUCGGGCAGUGGGCCGCACCAACCACCUCAGCCUGCCUCGAUUCGCCCCUGUGGUCACCACUCCUGUUAAGGCCGAGGUGUCCCCUCACGGGGCUCCAGCUCUGA
rnacentral:sRNA from 1 species